GCCUCCGUAGCUCAGGGGAUAGAGCACCGCUCUCCUAAAGCGGGUGUCGCAGGUUCGAAUCCUGCCGGGGGCGCCC
rnacentral:tRNA from 2 species